CCUCUCACUGGUCUCCUCUGCAGUUAGUCCCAGUCCUGGAGCAAGUGUUUGCCCUGGCCAUAGGGAAAGCCUGAAGGACCAAAGCUGUUCUGGGUCUGGCCCUGAGAAUUGAGUAUCUGGCUGCUUGGAGGACGUUGUGCUUCCAGCUCCAAAAGUCCUGGUGCUCUGGUUGUUCCUCAGCCGGGGCCCUGUACAGCAGCACAUAUGAGCUGGGAGCGUUUGGAACCUGCCUGGUGGUCGCUGUUGUAUCCAGUUCCUGCUUCUGACACAAGGUGUCAGUGAAGGACCUGGAGCUGCUUUCCUCUGCUCCAGUGCUGUGAGCAUGGAUCUGUGCUUGUGUGGAAUCUGUUUGGGGCAGCCAAACUUAGGAGUCACCCAGAUUUCUACUGUCAAAAGAUUGGCUCCCAUUGCUUUGAGGUGUUCAGCACAUCUCCUUUCACGAGAGAAGAGCAGGGGAAGCUGUGCUACCUGUCUCUUUUCCAUUUUAUCACUGUGGCCCUGGAAUUGAGACCCCAGGAAGGUUGGAGUGAGGCUUCUCUUUCAGGAUAACCACAUGGGCAGUGUGUCCUCUCUUGUGCGGGGAUGUUGCAGAGCUCCAGACUGACUUCAAGACUGCUUUUGGUGGAGCUCAUGAUAUUCCCUGUGUGAAGGGGGAACAGCAUAGAUCCUUUCCUGUGCAGCUCCUUUACUGUGCUACCAAGCAGGGAGAGGCCACUUGAUGGUCCCAAGGUGUGGCCAUGCUUAGAUCCAUCCUGAGCUCCAAGAGUGGAUCAGUCUGAACUCGGGGGCUGUAGAAGCCAGGCUUUAGUGUGCUGGGGAGUUUUCAUUGACAUUCACACGAUGAUGAUUUGUCACUCUCCUCACAUCUUGGAGCCCUGUGUGUAAAGCUGACCCUGCGUGUUGGCACUGUGCAGCAGAACUGACCCCUGGCCCCAAGGGCUUUCUCCUGCCAAAGGAGGCAGAGCCUAC